GUGAAAACAGCUCAGAGUGUCUGGGGCACCUGGGAUGAGUUGUUUACGGCAGUUGAGGGCUGGAUUUAUCUCUGCUUUUCCUGGAGGAGAGGGGAAUGUGCUGGCGAAUACACUUUUCAUUGUACAACGGCUUUGGAACCGAACUGCAAAGAGAAAAUUUUCCUGGCACUGUCUUCAAGGAGAAAUUCAUCAAGCGGGCCUUUAUAUAACAAACAUGAGACAGGAGAUCUUUGUCAUGGACAUGCUCUGAUCCUCAGCCGGCAGCUUGGAUCCACUGUUCUGGGUGACAAUUAAAGCCAACUCCCUAGUCCCCAGAACAUUAUGUAACAUCCGAAGGCUUCCAGAUUGUUCCAGAAGUUAAAGCCUCUAAGCAUUGCUGUCACCUUCAGCAGCAUGAAGUGGCAUCCUGCAAAUCCUUUGGCUUCUUUCCGUGUGACAGUACCAGGCAGGGUUCAUGGCUCAGCUCGCUCAUCAUUACAGAAGACACCUAUUUCCCAAAUCUUCAGUAUUAAGAAAAAUAUCCAGGCUAGAGCCCAUGGUUGUCAGCAUGCUCACAACAUCAGAAGCUAUAUACCCAGCUAACCCUGUUUUAUCAUCCCCAGCUAUGGGAGUAAAGCUAUCCCUCUGUCCCUAACACACACACACACACACACACACACACACACACACACACACAAAGUCUGCUACAACCCCUCACCAUCAUGGAGCCCAGGUUGUUGUGGUCACCUAUAGAAUGCCUGGUCCAGUAGCCAUAACUACAGAACACAGUGAAAUACUAAGUCUAUAGCAAAUAUAUAGCUGUUUCUAUUCCGUGAUAUGGCAAAGGGGGAAGAUCAUAGAACUCACUGAGAUUGCAGUCACCUCUCUUCCUGUCCCUCCCAGUUGCACAUGACCUUGGGAUCUCAGUGUUUAAGAGAUGCAAGGUUAACUGAAGGUGGAAUUCAUGAUGCAGUUUGCAUGGAGUCAUCACUGUUGACACUAUCUGGAGUCAUGCACACUCUAUAAACUAACCCUUCAUCAUGUUCAUGUACGUAAGCUUGUAAGCACAGUUGUUUACCAAACUAGGCUUGGCUAGUUCUUUUAGUCUGCCAUCAAAUUCUCUAUCUGGGGUGAACAGACAAUCUGUUCUUGUGUCCCAAGGAAAAGUCACACAACACCAACAUGACCCUCUUUCCCCUCUAAAAAGGUACAUAAACUUCUCUCCCUGAAAUCAAGCCACCAGCAAAAAUCGUAAUGAUUUUUGUCAAUUUCAAGUAUGGGAUGUAUAGAUUACCUGGCGUACUAGUCCAGUGGGGGUUGAGGGUUGGCAGGAGCUGGGAAAGACUCAAAACCGAUUGAUGUUCAUAGAGAUAAUUAAGGAUAACGACCAAGAACAAGGGGAGAUUCAAAUGCUUUUUUCUGUAGUGAUAGAAUUUUAUGGAAACAAUGAAGGGAAGCCAGGAAAUGCGCAUGUUAACUGACUGUCAGAACUACUUGAAGUCUCUUCCUGGGAGGCAAGCACUUCCUCUGCAGAGAUGUCUGCCCCAAUCUAUGUAACUCCUCCAAAACAACAACAGCAACAGCAACAGCAACAGCAGUAACAACAACAACAGCAACAACAACAACAGCAGCAGCAACAACAGCAGCAGCAACAACAGCAGCAGCAACAACAGCAACAACAACAACAACAACAACACAAAAAACAAGAAACAAAAAAAAAUAAUUUGCCAGGCAAGCAGUGAAAGCCUUUAAUAACAAUGUUUGAGAGGCAGAGACAGGUGAUCUCUGAUGUCAAGGCCAGCAGGGUACCCACAGCAAGUUCAAGGACACCCAAGGAUACAUAGAGAGACCUUGCCUCAAACAAACAAACCAACCAACGAACCAAACAAACAAACAAACAAAAACCGGCCACAGACAUUCCUGAGCCUUGCAGGACUUGAGGUGGUUCUUGUCAGUACUGGGAAGCAGGUUAUAUUCCAGAAGUUCUAGUAAAGAAUGGUACAUUUGCAUCUCUGGUGCUCAGCCUCAAGGAAGUUUCCAGAAAUUGUCAGCCUAAAUAUAUGUUCAGGCUGCUGGGGGAAGGGGCCCUGAAUAUCCAGAUAGCCAGACAGCACUGUGACAAGAGUGAGGCAUGGAGCUAAGCCUGGUCUUCCCUCAGGGAAAUGAGAGUCAGGGUCAUUAGCUAGGUGUAUCCAAAGGCUAGGACACCGGUGCCUGGCUUUCCCUGGGGAGUCUAUUUCUACUCACUCCCGAUAGGGAGGGCCAGGACACAUCAAACACAUCCAAAUCCAGCCUGGUGAGCCCAGGAGUUUAAUUGGGAUUUUUUAAGGACAGCCACACAACCAAAGAGUCCCCCUACCCCCUCCCUGCCAACAAUUGUUAACUGUUUUUAUACCCUUGGGUUGAGGGGACUGGUGAGACACCCUCUUUCCUUUCUGGAGUGUUAGUGUGCCCAGAGAGGGUGGUCUCAUCGCAACCAGGGCUUGCUAUGACUUCCGAUGGCAACAACUACAUCAAAGCUCAGAUAACAGACCAUUCCAGCACAGUGGCCCCGGCAGAAGAGAUACUGUUAAAAAAAAAAAAAAAAAAAAAGACAGUCUGUUCCUUCCUUUGGCUGUCAGACUACUGAAACAAAGAAUUCCAAAGAGUUAAAUUUCCACAGAAUCCUAUGCUGGGGGAAGGGCUAGGCUGAUACCCUGGUACCAGCCAGAGGAAGUGCUUGCCUCCCAGGAAGAGACUACAAGUAGUUCCAACAGUCAAUUAACAUGUGCAUUUCCUGGCUUCCCUUCAUUGUUUCUAU
ensembl:lncRNA